AGGACGAACGCUGGCGGCGUGCUUAACACAUGCAAGUCGAGCGGAAAGGCCCUUCGGGGUACUCGAGCGGGCGACGGGUGAGUAACACGUGAGCAACCUGCCCCUGGCUCUGGGAUAGCCUCCGGAAACGGGGAUUAAUACCGGACAUUCUCCUCCUUCCGCAUGGUUGGUGGUGGAAAGUUUUUCGGCCAGGGAGGGGCUCGCGGCCUAUCAGCUUGUUGGCGGGGUAACGGCCCACCAAGGCGACGACGGGUAG
rnacentral:rRNA from 1 species